UGUGAUCGGAAUUUAAGAGUCCUUACUCCUACAGACGAGCGUAUUUUGCAAAAUGCUUCCUUUUUCAUUUAAGAUUACGACGUAACUAUUAGUAUUUAUUCAAAAAUUGAUAACGUACUUAAAUAAUCAUUUCUUAAACUAGGGGCUGAAAACGUUCAAAUUUUCAUUUUCUCUUUUUGAACCUAAAAUAAAUGAGUUUUCUUAGGAGUCUUUUUCAAAUUUUGCAGUGAGAAGGGUCGUUUCGGUUCUCAAUUUUGCAGUAAACAAGAAUCAUUUGGUACAUGAAUGAUUACAAUUCAACUCACCAUAUCUUGUACGAGGGGCUGACAUGCUUGAAAAUCGAAGAUUCAUUUUAAAAAAUUGAUAAAAAACCUUCCGAGUUUUCUUCAUUUUUUUGGUGAAAACAGGGUUACAUUACAUUUUUUUAUCGCAAAUUGGACUUAUAUUUUGCCCCAAAAAUAAUAUUUUAUCAAAUUGUAACUUUAUGUCUACUCAUAAAAAAAAAAUCAUAACUAUAGGACCUACCUAGCCGUAAAUCUAUAUUUUUUUAAAGACGUACAAAUCACGCUGCACCGACACCGCGCGCUCAGUCUCCGCCGAGUGCGCUUAGGGGACGGACCUGUGCUCGACCGUCAGGCGUUCGUUGCUUUCGUAACCAUCGAGAGAGUUCCGAGAAGUGCUGUAUACUAUGAUUAGAAAAUCUUGAUCCAAGGGUGUACAUUUUUUACACCAUAUUUAAUUUUAACAACCGACUCUCGCUUAUGUGAUAGAUUUUCAGUGUUACUUGAAUUCUGGUUAGGGUUUGCAUUUUUAUUAUACCCGGACGACCUGGAUGAUGUCCAGGUUCUCAUGAUGGAGUCAGGAAUGGUCACCGAACUCCUAAUCUACUCAUCAUAACUCCAUCGUGUUUGGGCUCAAUAGAUUUUCCUUGACGAACACCAUCGAUCUAGAUGAGGUCCAGGUUCUCAUGAUGGAGUCAGGAGUUGGUCACCAGAACUCCUAAUCUACUCAUUAACACUCCAUCGUGUUUGGGUUCAAAUGAUUUGCCCUGACGAGCACCAUCUAUCUAGAUAAGGUCCAGGGUCAUGAGACCCUUCUGGUGACCAACUUCUGACUCCAUCAUGAGAUGGUCACCAGAAGUCCUAAUUUACUCAUCAUAAGUCCAUCGUGUUUGGGCUCAAUCGAUUUGCCUCGACGAGCACCAUCUAUCUAGAUGAGGUCCAGGGUCAUGAGACCCUUCUGGUGACCAACUCCUGACUCCAUCAUGAGAUGGUCACCAGAUGUUCUAAUCUACUCAUAAUAACUCCAUCGUGUUUGGGCUCAAUAGAUUUGCCCCGACGAGCACCAUCGAUCUAGAUGAAGUCCAGGUUCUCAUGAUGGAGUCAGUAAUGAAUCUAGAUGAAGUCCAGGUUUUCAUGAUGGAGUCAGGAGUUGGUCACCAGAACUCCUAAUCUACUCAUCAUAACUCCAUCGUGUUUGGGCUCAAUAGAUUUUCCUUGACGAGCACUAUCGAUCUAGAUGCGGUUGAUAGAUUAUUAAUAUUAUUUUAUUUUACAUACAUACUUACAAAUAAAGCUUCAUUUGCUUCCCACAAGGAUCAAGUAAACCUUAUAAAUCAACUUCGUUCUAAAUAAAAACCGGCCAAGUGCGAGUCGGACUCGCACACGAAGGGUUCCGUACCAUUAUCUAUAAAAACGGUCACCCAUCCAAGUACUGACCCCGCCCGAGCCCGACGUUGCUUAACUUCUGUCAAAAAUCACGUUUACAACAGUAUGGGAGCCCCACUUAAAUCUUUAUUUUAUUCUGUUUUAGUAUUUGUUGUUAUAGCGGCAACAGAAAUACAUCAUCUGUGAAAAUUUCAACUGUCUAGCUAUCUCGAUUCGUGAGAUACAGCCUGGUGAUUGACGGACGGACGGACGGACGGACGGACAGCGGAGUCUUAGUAAUAGGGUCCCGUUUUACCCUUUGGGUACGGAACCCUAAAAACGGAGAUACUUCUGUUUUAGACAUAAAAUCGAACUUCAGAGAGUUCAGUAGUUGUUACUUGCAGGUACUCUCGAAUUUAUUGUCAUUAUACAGGGUGGCCAUAAAAUAAGUGCUUUUCCGCUGCUGGCAAGAAAAUGGUUGCUGGAAAAAAAAUUACCCUCCCAUAGAAAAUGGACUAGACAAAAUGUAUGAAACAGCCAAAUUUUUUUUUCGCGAUUUCGGGGUUGGUCCCAUCGCGGUUCGCGGUUGCUUAGUUCAGUAUAAUCCCUAAACCUCCCUGGCAACGGGAAUGCACUUAUUUUUGGCCACCCUGUAUAUAUUAUUAUUUAAUAUAACCUUAUCUUUAAAACAUUUAAUUAUUCAACUUCCUUGGUGAACUGACUUGAAUAAGUUACUUGACUUCGUGGAUGAACUUGUCACAAUAAUUCCAUGACAUACAGAGGUAAACAAUCAUUAUUUUUUACUCGUCGUUGGUUAUAUAUUAUCUCAUCACAUAUACUCUAUUGACUACUACCAUGCUUAUAAAAUAAAAUACAGAGUGCCAAUAUAACGUUAAAAUAAAUUUACUUGCAAAUUAAAUUGAAAAGUAUCAAAAUUAUUCUUGUCUGCGUUGAAACGCGCUUAGCUUUGCCGGCGCUCGCGUACCGAGCGCUAACGCCAUCUAUCGAGUGUUAUUUCGCAAAAUCGGUGAACGCUCUAAGGAAUAAGGGCUCUUAAGGUAAAA